GUCUACGGCCAUACCACCCUGAACGCACCCCAAUCUUGUCUGAUCUCGGAAGCUAAGCAGGGUCGGGCUUGGUUAGUACUUGGAUGGGAGAAAAGUCUGUUAAUGAACCGGCAGGGGAGGUUCUCUCUGUUGCUU
rnacentral:rRNA from 1 species